AAAGUUAGUGGCGGACGGGUGAGUAACACGUGGGCAACCUGCCUGUAAGUUGGGGAUAACUCCGGGAAACCGGGGCUAAUACCGAAUGAUAAAGUGUGGCGCAUGCCACGCUUUUGAAAGAUGGUUUCGGCUAUCGCUUACAGAUGGGCCCGCGGUGCAUUAGCUAGUUGGUAGGGUAAUGGCCUACCAAGGCAACGAUGCAUAGCCGACCUGAGAGGGUGAUCGGCCACACUGGGACUGAGACACGGCCCAGACUCCUACGGGAGGCAGCAGUAGGGAAUCUUCCGCAAUGGACGAAAGUCUGACGGAGCAACGCCGCGUGUAUGAAGAAGGUUUUCGGAUCGUAAAGUACUGUUGUUAGAGAAGAACAAGGAUAAGAGUAACUGCUUGUCCCUUGACGGUAUCUAACCAGAAAGCCACGGCUAACUACGUGCCAGCAGCCGCGGUAAUACGUAGGUGGCAAGCGUUGUCCGGAUUUAUUGGGCGUAAAGCGCGCGCAGGCGGUCUU
rnacentral:rRNA from 1 species